rnacentral:lncRNA from 1 species
CCGCAAGCGCAAGCUAUCGGGAGACCAGCUGGCUGCCAGGACCCCCAGGAGCAAGAAGAAGAAGAAGCUGGGGGCCAGGGAAGGUGGGGAGGCCUCUGUUUCCCCAGAAAAGACCUCCACGACUUCCAAGGGGAAAGCAAAGAGAGACAAAGCGAGUGGUGAUGUCAAGGAGAAGAAAGGGAAGGGGUCUCUUGGCUCCCAAGGGGCCAAGGACGAGCCAGAAGAGGAGCUUCAGAAGGGGAUGGGGAAGGUUGAAGGUGGAGAUCAAAGCAACCCAAAGAGCAAGAAGGAGAAGAAGAAAUCCGACAAGAGAAAAAAAGACAAAGAAAAAAAAGAAAAGAAGAAGAAAGCAAAAAAGGCCUCAACCAAAGAUUCUGAGUCACCGUCCCAGAAGAAAAAGAAGAAAAAGAAGAAGACAGCAGAGCAGACUGUAUGACGAGCACCAGCACCAGGCACAGACCCCACAUGCCCAAAGGCCUCGGGACUUCCCACCACCUUGCUCCACAGAUCCAGCUAGGCCUGACCUGUGCCUCAUCCCAUGCCGCUCGGUCUCUGGCUGAUCCCGAGGCUUUGUCUUCC